GAUGAACGCUGGCGGCGUGCCUAAUACAUGCAAGUCGAGCGAACGGACGAGGAGCUUGCUUCUCUGAUGUUAGCGGCGGACGGGUGAGUAACACGUGGAUAACCUACCUAUAAGACUGGGAUAACUUCGGGAAACCGGAGCUAAUACCGGAUAAUAUUUUGAACCGCAUGGUUCAAAAGUGAAAGACGGUCUUGCUGUCACUUAUAGAUGGAUCCGCGCUGCAUUAGCUAGUUGGUAAGGUAACGGCUUACCAAGGCAACGAUGCAUAGCCGACCUGAGAGGGUGAUCGGCCACACUGGAACUGAGACACGGUCCAGACUCCUACGGGAGGCAGCAGUAGGGAAUCCUCCGCAAUGGGCGAAAGCCUGACGGAGCAACGCCGCGUGAGUGAUGAAGGUCUUCGGAUCGUAAAACUCUGUUAUUAGGGAAGAACAUAUGUGUAAGAAACUGUGCACAUCUUGACGGUACCUAAUCAGAAAGCCACGGCUAACUACGUG
rnacentral:rRNA from 1 species